UACGUAGGGGGCAAGCGUUGUCCGGAAUCAUUGGGCGUAAAGCGCGUGUAGGCGGUCCGGUAAGUCCGUUGUGAAAGUCAGGGGCUCAACCCUUGAAUGCCGGCGGAUACUGUCGGGCUAGAGUCCGGAAGAGGCAAGUGGAAUUCCCGGUGUAGCGGUGAAAUGCGCAGAUAUCGGGAGGAACACCAGUGGCGAAGGCGACUACCUGGCCUGUUUCUUGACGCUGAGGCGCGAAAGCUAGGGGAGCAAACGGG
rnacentral:rRNA from 1 species